AGGGAUAUGACCAGGCCACAACCACGUCGUCCAUAGCCUAGGAUAGAGGUCUCAGUUACCUGGCUAGCCUUAGGCAGAGUGCCUAUGAGUAAAGAAAACAACAUUUAAUGGCAGCGACGUCUAGCGGAGGUGUGAAAAGGCACAACUUUUCAAAUUCGUGGAUUAUUUUAUUGCUGUAUGGUGCGUUGAUUCUUAAAGAAGGUUCAGCUCAAUGUGACGAUGACA